AUUGCCUCAGUAACGGCGAGUGAAGCGGCAACAGCUCAAAUUUGAAAUCUGGUCCCAGGCCCGAGUUGUAAUUUGCAGAGGAUGCUUUUGACAAGGUGCCUUCCGAGUUCCCUGGAACGGGACGCCAUAGAGGGUGAGAGCCCCGUCUGGUCGGACACCGAGUCUCUGUAAAGCUCCUUCGACGAGUCGAGUAGUUUGGGAAUGCUGCUCUAAAUGGGAGGUAUAUGUCUUCUAAAGCUAAAUACCGGCCAGAGACCGAUAGCGCACAAGUAGAGUGAUCGAAAGAUGAAAAGCACUUUGAAAAGAGAGUUAAACAGCACGUGAAAUUGUUGAAAGGGAAGCGUUUAUGACCAGACUUGGCCCGGUUGAUCAUCCAGCGUUCUCGCUGGUGCACUCUGCCGGUCCAGGCCAGCAUCAGUUUGCCGCGGGGGAUAAAGGUUUCGGGAAUGUGGCUCCUCGGGAGUGUUAUAGCCCGUUGCGUAAUACCCUGCGGUGGACUGAGGUCCGCGCUUCUGCAAGGAUGCUGGCGUAAUGGUCAUCAACGACCCGUCUUGAAACACGGACCAAGGAGUCGUCUUCGUAUGCGAGUGUUCGGGUGUAAAACCCCUACGCGUAAUGAAAGUGAACGCAGGUGAGAGCUUCGGCGCAUCAUCGACCGAUCCUGAUGUUCUCGGAUGGAUUUGAGUAAGAGCAUACGGGGCCGGACCCGAAAGAAGGUGAACUAUGCCUGUAUAGGGUGAAGCCAGAGGAAACUCUGGUGGAGGCUCGCAGCGGUUCUGACGUGCAAAUCGAUCGUCAAAUAUGGGCAUGGGGGCGAAAGACUAAU
rnacentral:rRNA from 1 species